GACGUAGGGAGCGAGCGUUGUCCGGAUUCAUUGGGCGUAAAGAGCGCGCAGGCGGUUUGGGAAGUCGGAUGUGAAAUCCCGGGGCUCAACCCCGGACCUGCAUCCGAUACUGCCCGACUAGAGGUAGGUAGGGGAGAUCGGAAUUCCUGGUGUAGCGGUGAAAUGCGCAGAUAUCAGGAGGAACACCGGUGGCGAAGGCGGAUCUCUGGGCCUUACCUGACGCUCAGGCGCGAAAGCUAGGGGAGCGAACAGG
rnacentral:rRNA from 1 species